AGGACCUGCGGCUCCUACUGAGUGUGCUGCCGUAGAGCCUUCCAGAGCUGACUCACACAUAGCCAGAGAGGAUCCAGGAAAGCCUGCAGGCAAAGGGAUGGUGUGUGAGCUGUCACCUGGCCGGGAGAAUUUGUAUCCCUUUGUGUCCUGUCUCAGGAGAAAGGGGGAGCAGAUGGAGCCUUUCUUCUGCUUGCUGUUUCUCCAUUGCCUUCAGCUCAACAGCAAACUUUAAAUUGAAGGUGAUACGUUUUGGUUUCUUCACAGCCAAUUUGGGGCCGAAAUGUAAACAGUAACAGAACUGUAGGGCCCCUGCCACAGCUCAGCAGAUAAAGGCACUUGUUACCACGCCUGACAACCUGGGUUCCAUCCCUGGGACUCACAUCUCAGAAAGAGAGAAUGACCCCUGCCAGAUUUCCUCUGAUGGAAGUAUAGAGGGCAUGCUCGCG
rnacentral:lncRNA from 1 species